rnacentral:tRNA from 1 species
UGAAUAUAGUUUAUAAAAAUCCUA